GACGAACGCUGGCGGCGUGCUUAACACAUGCAAGUCGAGCGAGGCCCCUCCUUCGGGAGGGUGUCCUAGCGGCGAACGGGUGAGUAACACGUGGGCAACCUGCCCUCAGCUCUGGGAUAACCCCGGGAAACCGGGGCUAAUACCGGAUACGACCUCGUCAGGCAUCUGUCGAGGUGGAAAGUUUUUCGGCUGAGGAUGGGCCCGCGGCCUAUCAGCUUGUUGGUGGGGUGACGGCCUACCAAGGCGACGACGGGUAGCCGGCCUGAGAGGGUGACCGGCCACACUGGGACUGAGACACGGCCCAGACUCCUACGGGAGGCAGCAGUGGGGAAUAUUGCGCAAUGGGCGAAAGCCUGACGCAGCGACGCCGCGUGAGGGACGAAGGCCUUCGGGUUGUAAAGCUCUUUCAGCUGGGAAGAUAAUGACGGUACCAGCAGAAGAAGCCCCGGCUAACUCCGUGCCAGCAGCCGCAGUAAGAC
rnacentral:rRNA from 1 species